CGGCCUCCCAAAGUGCUGGGAUUACAGGCGUGAGCCACCGCGCCCGGCCAUGUCUUUAUUUAUAUUAUUAUGUCCCGCAUCAUGGCAGGCUCUCUGUAAUGGGUGAAGGAAGCUCAAUGUCACUUCCAGAUGACUGUGCCAUGUGACCAUGGGCCAGUUACUUACGUCUCAGGGCUUGCAUCCCUUCCUCACCAGUAAAAUGAGAGAUGGACUGGACAAUCUCUACCACCCAGACAGCCUCACACUCCUAGGAGGCAGACCAAGAAAAAGCUGUUCUAUCGGGAGCGUCAAGAUCCUCCAAUUCCUGUACACUUUUAACAACGUGCCUUCUUCCUUGUCCCCAGCCCCAGGGUGAGUAAAAUUCUCAGGGUUAAAAGCUUUUUCCACUUAUGCUAAAAUGUGGAAGAGAAAACCGAUAAAGGGAUAUGAACGGUUACUUAAGAUUUCUCUAAAAGGCUGAAGGAGCUAAAUAAAGGGUUCAUGAUUAUUAGCCCGGGACAGCCUAUCAUCACCGUUACAUGGACAAAUUGUACUGCAUGUCAGAGCACGCACAAGAUGCACAAUAAUUUAUCAGUCAGGACCCAGAAAAUUGUACAGUACAAGUGCCUCUGCAGCUUGUGCCUCCCUGCCCUGCCACCCUCCCUCGGUUCUGUCAAAGGGACAUUGCCAAGAGAGGCCCUUGAUUUAGGACUUGGUUUAAAAAAGCACUUAUCAAAACCAAAAAGGAACUGAAAUAUUUCUGUGACAUUUAUGAGUAAACAACAAAAAGAAAACAGUAUUUUUCUCGCUGUUCUCCUUCCCUCCUGUGGUUUCUCACUAUUCUCUAGGUAGUUUCCUAAAUGCGACCACAAAAAAGAAACCUAAAUUUGUGCAGUAAACAUGGGAUUGACCAGGAAGACACAUGAAACUGACUACGGUGGCCUAUUGGCAAAGAAAGGAAAGAAAAGAAAAGGAAAGAAAAAAAGAAGGAAAGAGAGAGAGGAAGGAAGGAAGGAAGGAAGGAAGGAAGGAAGGAAGGACCCAAAUAAACAAACAAAAAGAACAAGGACAACCAAGCAAUGGCCGAGAGCAAUGAAGAUUUAGUAGCCUGUGAAGUGGUGAGGGAACACUCUUCCCCCACGGGGAGUAUUUUAUCCCCGACCUUAUUUAGAAUGGCCAGGCCAUGAUGACAAUACAAAGUAGACCAUCUUUCUGUGAAUUUUAUGAUUGUUUUUAAAUUUCCCAUAGACAACUGCUCCCCUCUUGCCCGCACAGGGUAGAUGGCUCCCAUGGGCCUGUGCUUGGUACACCCCGUAGACACUGGUUGGCAUCUAUGUGCUUACGUUUGAUGAUUUGAGGAAUCAUGGGUAAUGAAGACAGGCGCUUUUGUGGCGGCACAGUCCAACCCUGUGAUGUUCUAAUGUAAAAACAGUUUUAAAAGACUGCAGAUUGCAGAGGCCAUAGAGGGGUGCUGGAAUCUGGCAUUCGAACCCAUCCACAUGCAGAGGCCCGUGCUUCCCUUAGGAUGCCUGGAACUCUCCUGGAAGCUGUUCCUCUUUUUCUAGCUUGUGUUUCUGGGGCUGUUUCUACCUCUAGAAUCUGCUCACAAGACCUAGCACUUCACUAAUUCCCAAGUAUUUACUCAGUUGUGGUUGUUAAUCGUAUUAUUUCUAGACUUUAUAAUCAUUAUUACUGGAAGAAACUAAAGUCCAAAGAAGGGUAUGGGAGUCCAGUGAGCUCCUGGCAGAAGAGAAGUCAUGACUCGGCUCUGCGGGGGAUCAUACUCUUCACACUCACCCCAACCCUCUUCUAGGCUCAAGACCACCAGAUUACUGCCAGAUCACUUAGUAAGGCCAAUUCACUCAGCUCUCAUUCCCCAAAGCUUACGGGAGCACUCAGGCCUACCUUCUUUCACAUUUUCCCACGUAGUAGAGACAGUGAAUUCUCCCACAGGACACAGGGAGGCCUCGUGUGUUCUUCAGAAAUCAUGGAGAAGCAGAAGGAGCUCCAGGAGCCAGGCGGACUCACUUGGCAUCCUUUCCCCUCCUCAUUAGCUGUGUGAACUUGGGCCAGCCACAACAUUCUUGUGAACCUCACUUUACUCAGCUGUGAAACGGGGAUAAUACGCCCCACCUUUUAAGUGAGCAGUGCAGACUGGAGGAGAUAAAGAACAUAUAACGUGUGCUCAAUGCUCAGUACCUGUGGCUGUGGUGAAGGAGGUAUGGGGUGUUUCUUUAGUAUUUCCUGGCUGUCUUCCCACAAUCGAAAUUGCAACGCGAACCAUGCUGACAGCAAAUAAAACAAAACCCUAAAUCCCUCGACGUCAGGGGCCCAGCACACCUGUGAUAGCCGCUGUAAGGCUAGGCUGGUCGGUGAGUUCCUUGAGGGCUGUGAGUAGGUCAGGGGUGCAGCGCUGUUGCAGCUGGGUGCAUGUGGUGUUCGCCAUGUUUGUCCUUGCACUGCAUGAAAGCCCCUGAAUCCUGGGCUUCGGCAUGACAACAUCACCUCUUAGGGCUCUGCUGAGAGUCCUCCCAGCUUGUGCUCACAAACAGAACGGGGGCCGGGAGAGGAGGGCAUUGAGGCCACACACAGCCCUGCUCAGUGAAACCCACAGCUCAUGCUGGUGUUUAAAUGCUAACUAUGGGCUCCCAGGACAGCCCAUUUAAUUUCUCCUUUUGUUGGCCGUGUCCCAGCCCUUCCUUCUCCUCCAGGCCCCUCCUCAAAUACCACGCCAGCUGGGGAGCUGCCCCUCCCCUAAUUAUUACCCUGGGGCUGCCAAGAUGCUGGCUCCACCCCCGCAGAGGAUGGCGGCAGAGCACAGAACGUGACAACAGCAGCAGCAGGUGGCCCCAGCAGAAAAGGCCUGAUCAUGGUCCCUGCGAUUCCUACCAUUCCUGGCCAGCUAGUGGGCGUAGCGAGCAUGCUUUGUGUGGCGCAGGGGUUCUGCAUUCUUAGGGCACCACCAUCUUUCACCCCAUCUCUGUGAAGCAGGGAGGAGGUGGGGGGUUUUCUGUGCAGCAAUGUAUGCCUAAGACACACUCUUCUAGUCAAGAAUGUAGGAUUGCUUAGCCUAGAGCAGCAGAAUCCCAGUUAAGGUUUCAUGUUGGGGUUCUUGGGGUGGUCUUGCCCUCCACAUAGCUCCCCAAGGGAAAGGGCUCCUGUGAGCAGAAAUAUACUGCAGCUCACAGCCCCCUAGCCUAUUACAGAAAGGUAGGACAAUCCUUGGGAAGCAAGCAAAGUUUGCCGCCAGCAGCUCCCAGAACCUUCCUUGCACAUUUAUUCGUCCACCUGUCCGCCUAAGCUGUGCAUCCAUCCGAACACCCACUCAUCUUUGCUGAGAACCUAAUGAGUGAGGGCUCUGUGCCACAUGCUGGGGAUACAAAGGUGGGUAAGACACCAUCUCGGUGCUAUUUGCCCCCCUCCUCAAGCACAGGUACUCAGGGGGCAUCAUCCAGUUGUAGUUUAUGAGGACUCUGCAAUAAGAAGAAGAAUGGGCGCUUGUCCUCACAUACAGAGGCUCAGAGUUUAGUGGCUUGCCCAAAGCCACACAGGAGGUCACAAAGCCAUGACUCCGACCUGGACUUCUGAUCUAGAGUGUCCUCCAUGGCAGUGUGUUCUCUAAUGGCAAAAACAGACCACUUCCCCAAGCAAUGGCUGAGACUGAAGGGGCGACUCUGGCCUUGAGCAUGGCUGCUCCUUCUACUGAGCAACCAUGUCAUUUCACUCAAUGUUUCUCAAACACUUGUUAGUGCCAGGCCCUGUGCUGGGCACCAGCCAAACUGCCUGGGGCCCUGCUUGUCCUCUUCCCCUGUUUUGAUUUGCUUGCUUCGUUGUUUGGUUCUUCUUGGACUGUUUCUAGGUUGGUUUAGUCUUUGAUACUCCUCCCAUGUGAGAAGGUCCUGACUGGUUUCAUCCCAGGGAAGGAAGACAGCUCCCAAUCAAGUGGUGUGGUCAACGUCUUCCACUUUGCCAUGCAGAGAGCCUGAGUUACCAGUGAGCUCUGGGCAGAACCAGUGGGCUAAAGACUCUCCAUGGAUUAUAUCAACACUGUCAGAAUUGUCAAGUUAGGCACUGUCUCUAACUCAAUAUGUUAAGAUACAUAUACUAAGACAAGGACUUGAUUUAACAACAGCAGCAAUAAUAAGCAUCCUUAGGGUAUGAUGUAUAAAGAAAAGAGACAGCGGCCUGGAAAACCCACAGGUGGCACUUCAAUACUAACUAUAAAUGGGAAGUUGAAAUACCUCGGAAAAGAAACAUCUGAUCAUCAAGGAAGAGCUUUGUAAAUCAUAGAAUGGUAUCAGUGAGUGUAACGUUGGGGACCUCCAGGCUAACUCCUUCACUUGGUGUUCAGAGAGCUAAGACUUAAGAGUACUCCCAGUGCCACAGGAGCCGAAGGUGGGCCAGACCCAGGAAACGCAUCUCCUGAGCCUCAUGCCAGGCCUGUUCUGCUGAGCCACGACACCGGGCAUCAUUCACUGGGCAUCAUUCUCAUCAGAACCCCAAGCAAGCCCUGCUUGUACCUUGCAGAUCUCAGCCCAACCUGUCCCACUGAGGCAGCACAGGGAAGAUGCCAGCCCUUCUUCUGCAGAGUCUCAACCAUCCUGUCUCCUUGGCAGCCGCUCAGCACAUGCACAUCUGCUGCCCAGAGAGAAGGGCAGUGUGUGAGAAGUGCGCCCUGCACUGGGUUCAUGUUCCAACCCUGACUUUCCCCAGCCUGCUGACCUUGAAAGAAUCACUAAUCCUGUCUCAUUUUGUUCCCCAUCUGAAAACUGGAGCAAUAAUCUUAUCUCUGAAAGCUUUUGUAAAGAUGAAGACGUAGACUGUCACUGGAAGCACCUUAUUAUUGAUAUUGCCCAGUUCCCAGACAACACUGCCAAGCUCUGAGGCUGUCCUGCCACAGAUCCCGAUGUGAAGCCACCCUGCUCUCCAAUGAACCCAACUUCCAGUGCAUGCAUGCCUUUCAGAGUGAGGAAACGCGCUUCUGCCUCAUUGUUUGCUUUCCCGGCUGUGCUGGUUGGAUGCAGCAGGGAUAAUGUUGACUGGAGAUGGUUUAUUUGUCACCUAAUGCUAAUGUGUCAUCCCUGCAGCAGUGGUUAUCACCUACUAUUAGUAUUCUUUGUCUGCUGAGUGAAUGGCUAAGGGGCCCUGAGCUGGAGUGGACAGAAGAGGGGAAGACAAACUGUGGAGUUAGGAGCUGCUAUGUGGGUGUAAGCCAGCAGGGAGCCCUGACCGCUCUACCAAUGCCUCAGAGUAGGAAAACCACCCUGGCUGAGUUCCCACCCUGAGGCCUGGCCCACGGAAGGCCAAUGUGGCGUGGGCUGUGAUAUGCUAUUGAGACAGGCAGAGGGUUGGUGGCCUUGAAUGCCAUGGCUGGAAUAUUGAGUUACGAACAAUAACACCCAGUCCCCAGUCAUGGGAAAAUAAGCAGGGCUUAGGGAGGCCCCAAUGGGAGCCACAAAUAACACCAAAGCAGAAAAUGGCAAAAACAAUUGCCACCACAAUAAAAAACCACAUAGAACCAAAACUUAUGGCCAAAUUUCCCACAUACUGCAAUCAACAGUCCAUUACUAAAAAAUUCCAGCAUACCAGGGAAGAAUGACAGGACCAGAGGAAGGCAGAGAGAUGAAUCAGAAAAGGAAGAGAAGAAAUAAUGAGCACUGAAUGUAGGUGCCAGGAGAGGAGAAACCCCGUUCGUGUUAUUCAGUGCUCAGGGUCUAGAACGGAGCCUGCCACAUGGAGAAGCUCAGUGAGCAUUUGCUGAAUGAAUGAGGGGUGACAAGUAAGUAAUAUAAGUAGAAAACAUAUGGAUGUUUUCCCCAAGGAAGGCUGAAAGGCACUCAAAUGAAGGGUUGGGGAAAAUCAUGGAUCCUCCUUCGCUGAAAGUCUCUUUAAAGAACAACGAGAUGCUUUCCUGUCAGUAACGAUCCAGUUCCUUGUCACUUCUCCCGCCACAGACCAGACCAGGAAUGUGCCGAGUGCCCCAGGCUGGCUGCCCACUUUGUGACAUACAGAAGCCAACACCGUGCAUUCCUUUGGAUGGUGAGUCAAGGAGCUUCUCGGCACCGGACUUGCUGGCCUCUCCUGGGGCUGCCCCCGCAUCCAUCUGCUACCAUUGCUAACGAGCCCCUGGCCUCUUAGGCCUGCCCAGGGAGCUGCCAUUGCACUACUGGCAUGUCCCCGGACCCCUGAGGCUGACAGGACUUCUCACCAGCCAGCCAGGCCAGAUGGACAGGCCUCAAGGAACAUGCCAGGGGGCAGGCUAACGGAUGGAUGGGCCUUGGAAAGGGAGGCGAUAGGGAUUGACCCUCAAACUAUGUUUUAAUCUGCUGAGAACAUUAAAGUGAUCCAUUGCUUUAUUUUUUCAGGUUGCCAAAAAAAAAAAGGGAAUGCGGAUUUAUUUAUUAUUAUUAUUUUGGUAAUGUGGAGGAUGAAAGGCAGGCAGGCAGGAUUAGGUGGGUUGUGGGAAAAUGUAAUAUUUUCCAGUACUACAUGUGUCCAUCUCUCCUGGAUUAACUGGAGAUCAAAGAAGCCCCUGCUGGAGAUCUGCCUGUGUCAUAAGGUGCAACGAGUCAACCUGAUGUUGCUAUAGGAACCAGAUUUCUCCCCAGCGUCAUGGCAACAGACUCCGGUGUGUUAGGCGCACAGUCUGCUCACACUGACAUAGUGAGCUCAGGAAGAGAGCAGCAAGGGGUGGGGAGAUGUGGGGGAGGCUGUACACAGUUCUCUUCCUAAACCAAUCAGCUGAAAGCUCAAAUAAAUGAGCCUUACUUUGAAUGGAGAUGACGACGGGAAUUGUGCAUCUUUGUUGGAAUAACUGCAGGACACUGAGGACAUCAUCAAACUUGGGGGUCCCAUCUGUGGUUGUCUACAUCAUAUACUAUCUGUUCUUAUAACGAGGGGUUUCACUGAGGAAGACUCCUUCCAAGGUCCAGUAAAACAACAAAUGAUAAACAACCAACCAACAAAACAAAACCCAAAAGAGCUAAUUAUGGGCCAUUCUGAAGUCCAUGAGCAAUAUUCUAUUUCCUUCAUGAAUUUCUAAGUGACAAUGAACUUCCCCACCAUCUAGGAACAUCUAAGAGGGGAAGGAAGAAAAUUGCAGCAUCCGCUCCCCUUAGAGGCUUUUAAUACUCAACAUCAAUUUCUUUGGCCUGGUGACAGAGCCCAUCAUCCAGGUAGAAAUGUGGAUCUGGAAAGAACGGCCUCCAGUCUGUGAUUUAAUUCCACAAGUUUCAACACUAUUGUCCAAGAGUCCGAGAUUAAAAAAAAAAAAAAAAAAAAAAGCCAUAUGUCAUUUAGUAUGUGCUUGCUUCCUGUGUGCCAUAUUUUUUUUCUAGGUCUCUGUACCAUCGGGCUUAAGAAUAUCUCCUUAUUUCUUGCUCUUGACCUAAGGAGAUGGUUCUCAAAGUGUGAUUCCUGGAGCACCAGUGGUAGCAGCAGCAACAUCACUUGAGAGCUUGUCAGAAAUGCAAAUUCUCAGGUCCUCACCUGAGACCUGCGGAAUCAGAAACUAUGGAGGUGGGGUCCAGCACUGUUUUAACAAGCUCCUCAGGUGCUUGUGUUGUAAAGCAAAGGUUGAAAACCAAUGGCCAAAGGAGUCUAUGCCCCUUCAACGCCUUCUUUCUGCCCACCUGGGCCUCCAGUCAGUCAAUGAUGGGACUGCAGAAAUCCUACGGCUGGGUCUUUUGAUGCCUUCUAUUCCAACUUCUGCCCGAUGAAGCCUCUCAUCUUCACUCCUCAAGGAUGCUUUGUGUCCUGGUGAGCUCACCAUUUUGCAAGAUGAACACCUGACUACACCUUACAUGGCUCUAAAACCUGCCUCUCCCUUUCACUCCUACCCAAAAUCUAGUUCUGCUUCCUGAAGCUACUCAGAAUUAGUCUGAUUUUUCAGCCUCAUGUAGCCCUUUAUGUAUGUGAAAUCAGCUAUUCCAUUGCCCCUAAAUAUCCUUGUUUCCAGGUAAAACAUCCCUAGAUCCUUCUGCAGUUCCUUAUGUAACAGUUUCCAGAUGGUUCCCCUGGGGUCCCUCACUGAAUGUGACCAACAUGAGAGGAGGACACACCUUGCUUCUCUUUAAACUUGGAGAGCAGACGAGCCUGACUGUACAGAGCAUAGGGACUGCCCCCUCCCCACCUGGACACCGCAGACUGCCACCAAGGCAACCCAGGUCAGCUUCGACUACAAUCACAACACCAAGCCUGGGGCAGUGAAAUCCCCCCGAUCCUUUUCAUAAAUGCAAUAGUUAAGUUAGUCCUCUUUCAUUCCUAUUUUUUGAGGCUGAGCCCAUAACUUAGCAUUUCUAAUACUAAAUUUAUCUCAUUAGUUUUGGCCCAGAAUUUUUAUUAAGAUACUAUUGAAUUUAUUUUUAUACUGUACAAAAAUGUGAUACUAUGCAUAUUUAUUUUCCUUUUAAACUUUAUUCAAAUUCAUAUGCUGUCCAUAUAUUUUAUAUCCUGCUAUUAAUGUGAAAUGAGCAUUUCAACUUGUUGGCUUCAAAAACAUAAGUUUUAUUAGCUCAUCAUAUGAGUUAUAACACAUUUAAACAUUCCCCUUUGAUGUUAGGUUCUCUCCUCUUUUCUUGCUGUUAUACAUGAGCUGAAAUGAACAUCAUUAUACGUAAAUAUAAAACUUUGUCUAAUUAUUUUUCAGCCCAAAUUCCUAGAUGGAAAAUUAGUGGUAAUAGGGUAUGAACAUUUCAAAGACCUUGAUAUGCAUUGCUAAAUUGUUUCCAGAAAGGUUAUAACUUUUUUCUAUUUCUAUCAUAGUAUAUGAGAGCCCAUUUUACCACACCUAUUGCUAAUGUAUUUUUUUAAUCUGUGUUACUUUAUUAAGUGAAAAAUAGCAUCUUCUUUUAAUUUAUGUUUCUAUUUUACUAGUGAGGCUGAUUUUAAAAAUCAAAAUGUAUUUACCAGUUUGUAGUUUAUAUUUUGUGAAUAAAUCUGUUCACGUCCUUUGCCAAAUUUUCUAAUGGGGAUGUGUUUCUUUAAUUGAUUUCUAAGAUCUCCUUAUACAGCAGCAAUAUUGACCCCGUGUCUACCACUUUAAUAAACAUUUUCCCAGUGUGUGUUUGCCUUCCAAAAUUUUCUGUAAUUUUUCUGUGGGUAAAAGUUUUCUAUUUUUAUGAGUUGAAUCUCAGUCUUUUCUUUUGUGCCUUCCUCCAUUACUUUCAUGUUUAUAAAGUCUUCCAUAAUUCUGGAGGCAGUUAAAUAGUCUUUUUCCCCCAAGUCUUAUGGUUUAUUUUCUUUCAUUUAACUAUUUGAAUCCACCUGUAAUUUGCUUUGUCUAAAUGUAUAAGAUAGGUAUGUAGGCUGGGCGUGGUGGCUCACACCUGUAAUCCCAGCACUUUGGGA
rnacentral:pre_miRNA from 10 species